UUCCUACGGGACGCAGCAGUCGGGAAUAUUGCGCAAUGGAGGAAACUCUGACGCAGUGACGCCGCGUAUAGGAAGAAGGUUUUCGGAUUGUAAACUAUUGUCCACAGGGAAGAUAAAAGACUGUACCUGUGAAGAAAGCUCCGGCUAACUACGUGCCAGCAGCCGCGGUAAUACGUAGGGAGCAAGCGUUAUCCGGAAUUAUUGGGUGUAAAGGGUGCGUAGACGGGAUAACAAGUUAGUUGUGAAACCCCUCGGCUCAACUGAGGAACUGCAACUAAAACUAUUAUUCUUGAGUGCAGGAGAGG
rnacentral:rRNA from 1 species